rnacentral:rRNA from 1 species
UACGGGGGGAGCAAGCGUUGUUCGGAUUUACUGGGCGUAAAGGGCGCGUAGGCGGCACCGCAAGUCGACUGUGAAAUCUCCGGGCUUAACUCGGAAAGGUCAGCCGAUACUGCGGGGCUAGAGUGCAGAAGGGGCAACUGGAAUUCUCGGUGUAGCGGAUGAAUGCGUAGAUAUCGAGAGGAACACCUGCGGCGAAGGCGGGUUGCUGGGCUGACACUGACGCUGAUGCGCGAAAGCUAGGGGAGCGAACGGG